rnacentral:lncRNA from 1 species
AUUUGGAUUAGGGUUUGGAUUAGGAUUUAGGAUUUGGAUUAGGGUUUAGGGUUUGGUUAGGGUUUGAUUUAGGAUUUGGAUUAGGAUUUGAUUUAGGAUUUGGAUUAGAGUUUGGACUAGGAUUUGGUUAGGAUUUGAUUUAAGGUUUGGUUUAGGGUUUAGGAUUUGGAUUAGAGUUUAGAGUUAGAUUAGGAUUUGGAUUAGGGUUUGAAUUAGGGUUUAGGGUUUGUUUAGGGUUUGAUUUAGGAUUUGGUUUAGGGUUUAGGAUUUGAAAUAGGGUUUAAUUUAAGAUUUGUUUAAGAUUUGACUUAGGGUUUAGAAAUUAUUAGGAUUUAAGAUUUAAUUAGGUUUGGUCUAAAGUUGAGUGAAAUUCAAUAGGGUUUUAACUAGAAUUAAAUUAAGGUUGAAUUGACAUAUAUUUGAGUAAAAUUUGUGAUCAUUCUAAUAUUUCUUUAAGAAUUUUAUUGUUUGUUUGAAAUUUCUUUGAGUUGUUUUGAAUUUGAUUACAUUUGUUUACCAUUAUUAUAGUCUAAUUAGAGCAUUUUUAGUAUUCUAUUAGAAUUAGGAUUUUGUUAUCGCAAUUUCUAUUCUUCCUUCUACAGCCAAGUACCCGGAGCAUUCUCAAGCAAGACUUCACACAUUACG